CGCGGCGAACAGGGCGGGCAAACAGGGCGUGGCGUGUCAGAAGGGUGGGGCGCGGCAGUUUGUGAGGCAGUUUACGCAGGCAGGGCGAGUAGGGAGGGCCCCUCGCCAGUCUUUUGCAGCGGUCUUUCCCUUCGGUACCUGUAACUUGCCUGCGAGGAACCUGGCCAUGGUAUCAACCAGGCAGAAAAACAUGGCCUCCGCAUCUCUUGCGGCCUCUCCAGCUGCUGUCACCAAUGUGGCUACUCAGACGGAGGGCUCGGGGAAACACACAGCCGUCCAUGUCUUGGGCUGCAGGGUGUGCCCGAGUCUUCUGUCGGUAUCUGACAGCAGCGGCGAGGGGUAUGCCUGUAGGAGGUGUGCCCAAGUUGAAGAGCUGCUCAGCCAGGUAGCGGAGCUUCAGGAGGGGGUGAGCAGGCUCAGAAGCAUCAGGGAGUCAGAGAGGGAAAUUGACUGGUGGAGGUGUACUCUGCCCUCUCUGAGACAGACUCACGAGCCUGCCAUAGCACAAAUGUCUCCUGCUACGCAGAAGACAAAACUUCCCUCAUCCCGCCAGGCAGCAGGAGGGGACCUAAGCCAAGGGGGGGAAUGGAGGCAGGUUCCUGUUCGGGGGGGUAGGCGAGCCCUGUCCCUGCCCCCCUCACCUUCCUAUCUACCCUUAUAUAACAGGUAUGAAGCUCUAGAACAUGACAACCAGAACAAUGAAGCAGGUGAAAGCCCAUCCCGGUUGGAGAGGAUGCCUAAGUCAAGGUCCCCUACCCCCCACAUUGCUACAUCAGCUCUCAAAAAAGAAAGAAGAGUUAUUGUCAUGGGGGACUCCCUUUUGAAAGGGACAGGGGGCCCAAUAUGCCGACCGGACCCUACCCACAGGGAAGUCUGUUGCCUCCCUGGGGCUCGGGUGAGAGACUUCGCUAGGAAAGUCAAGUGCCUGGUACGGCCCACCGACUACUACCUGCUACUGGUCUUUCAGGCUUGUAAUGAUGAGGUAGCAAUGAGAAGUCCAAGAGCGAUCAAAAGGGACUUUAGGGCUUUGGGGCAACUACUUAAAGGAUCAGGGGCACAGGUUGUGUUUGCCUCUGUCCUUCCGACAGGAGAGAUCGAAGCUGACAAGCAGACUCGUCACAUUAACACAUGGCUUCGGGACUGGUGCAACCGGCAGAAUUUUGUUUUUUUUGAUCACGGGAAGGUCUGCGCGACCCCGGGCCUGCUGGCACCAGAUGGGAUGCACCUCGCUCAUAGCGGGGUGAGAAUUUUUGCUCAGGAGUUGGCUGGGCUGAUAGAUAGGGGUUUAAACUAGAGUAGAAGGGGGAAGGGGAUAGAACCAGGCAUGCCGGUGAUGAGCUAAGGGGUGGUGUGCUAGAAUCAGAGGGACUGUGUGCUAGUGAGGCCCUUCAGUUGGAUACACAAGGUGCUGUGUGUAGGGAGGCGCAUUUGAAGUGCUUCUACACAAANNNNNNNNNNNNNNNN
rnacentral:lncRNA from 1 species